GAGCAGGAGGCAGGAGGCAGGAGCCAGGCCAGGAGGAGUCUCAGGAGCCAUGGCUUAGGGCCUGCUCCCAAGGAUGCCUAAAAUUCCACUGGCAAAACUUGCUGGAGGUGAUGCAGGCCAUCCUCGCCAUGCUCCUCACUGACAGCGAUCUUCUUCCAGCCCAAACCCAAACCACAGACUAGCUGAGAGCUCCCGACUAGCUGAUCCAGCCUCAAGCUGGGCCCCCUGAUGAGAUUCAGACAGUCCAGAAGCACUGGGCCUCCUCUCGACAGACCAGGACUCAAGGCAGCAACAGCAGAAGACGGUUCUCGUCUGCGGUUUAGAGGGGAGAGUGGAAGUGUGGAGUGAUGAAGGGACUUGCCCAGGCCAAGGCCACACAGCUACCAAGUGCAGGAGUUGGAUUUCAAACCAGUUUGUCUCCCUCUCCAUCCAAGCUCUUAGCCACCCCAGUGCAUUCGGAGCAAAGCACAAUUUCUGCAAUCACUCACCCCCACGGUACCCCUGGGUCCUGCCCUGGGCAGAAGUGGCCCUAUCUGGGAUUACCAAAGUCCAGAGCCUCGCCCUCAGCCUUGUCAGUUGAAGGAUUAGGUUUAUAUCAGCUUCCCAGAGAGGAACAGGUUCAGGCAGGCUGACUUAUGAUGACUCACCCCCAAGGUCGGAGCCAAACCUAAGGAGUUAAUUCACCUGCGAGGUACACCGACCAGGAGGUUGUGUAAGAGCACUGAAUUCGAAGUCAGACGUAGCUGGGUCUGAAACCCCAUCCGUCACCUCCUAACUCCAAGACUUUGGACAUGUUACCCACCCUCUUUGAAUCCCAGCUACGGCCUCACAGAAUGGGGAAAUGGGUGCCAACCUUGUGCAGUGACUGUGGCUUAAACAGAUAUUGUGGGUAAAAUGUUUAGUGCAGUGGUUGACGCUUAGUAGAAGCUCAAUAAACGGGAAUACUUUUAAUUAUUAUGAUUGCUUGAAAACUGGGCUUGGCCACCUGAUAAGGUCUCCCUGCCCCUGGCUGGUGGGCAGGUUACAUUGUAAAAAACAAAUUCCAGCUCAGAAGGCUGGUGGGAGAACCCAGAUAAGAAGAUGGGGCCUGAGCCCCAAGCCUCUGAUAGUGGGAUGAGGUGCACCCCCUUCCCUCCCACCCUCGGGGUAUUGCUGUUGGAACACCCAGUUCUGACUCGGAGCCUGUCUUAUCUUGGACAGAACUGCUCAUGACAACCAAGUCUCUUUUCCCAGUACUUCCCUCCCACUGAGAAGCAGGCCUCAUGCCACCUCAUCUUCAAGGCCCCUGGUGGGUAAACUUGUCCCCUCUUCUAGGCCCUGAUCAAAUGUGCCUUCGUGUGUGAGGCCUUCCCAGCUCUCCCAGGCAGAGGUGGAGCAACUACAGGCCGAUCAUACAAAAAGUACCUUGCAGGAGUUGGGACACAACAGUGGAGAACACAGAGGUGGCUCUUCUCAUCUGGAGCUUGAAGUCUAAUGGGACAAUAAACAAAGCAAACUAGUAAACCAAAUCGGGGUGAUGGGGUAUCAGGAAAGACCUUUAUAAAGAGGUGGCAUUUACCCUGAGGCCAGAAAGAUGAAAUGGAGCCAGGUUUGCCAAGAGCUGGGAACAAAAGGUUCCUGGCAUAAGGAACAGCUUUUACUUUCCCAGGAGGGAAAGAAUUUGGUGUUUCUCAUUGUUCACAAAAUCGGGCUGGAGCAGAUGGAAAGGGUGGGAGGAAUCAUAGCAAUCAGACACAGGCAGAGAGGCCUUGCCUCUCUGUGUAUCCAGCCAGAAAUGUGACAGUGAGGAUAAGACUUGUUACCAUUUAUUGAGCAUCUACUACGUGCCAGGUACUGUGUAGGCAUUUUCCAUAAACUCUCUCAUUCAAUCCCUCCCACCCCGACUCAGUACACAAUAUCCAUAUUCACGCUCUGGUUUUGCUCUAUGGUCAGUAUUUCCCUGCAGGUCUGUUUCCCUGCACACUCCUCCUCUACCCCCAUUAGACUGGAAGCUCCUCUGUAAAACAUCUCGAGACCCCAGCACAAGGCACUGGAACAGGGAGCUGCAGUAUCUGUGGAGUUUUCAGCAACACUCCUCUUCACCUAGUCUUGAGCAGCUACAAUGUGGGGGAGGGGAGAGUCAGGAACAGGCAUUCACACAGUCCAGGUAAAGUUUGUAGAAAACACAUCAGGCAUCUUGUUGUGAUGAUUUAAGAAAAACUUAGUUACAUCAGUAGCAUGCUCACAAGUCUUAUUGAGGUCAGCCAGUUCCAGGAUACUCCACACAGGGGCUAAUCUCACCACUUUGUGUGUUAGUGUCUACCACGAAGGAUGGCAGUCCCAGACCUGCCCCUCACCCCAUGGAGUAGUGUGAUCUUCACAGGCCAUACGAGCACCUGCAGAUAGCAGGGAUGAGUCCGUUCCAUUCAAUAUUGUCAUUGAGCA